ACGGGAGGCAGCAGUGGGGAAUAUUGGACAAUGGGGGGAACCCUGAUCCAGCGACGCCGCGUGAGUGAAGAAGUAUUUCGGUAUGUAAAGCUCUAUCAACAGGGAAGAAAAUGACGGUACCUGCAUAAGAAGCCCCGGCUAACUACGUGCCAGCAGCCGCGGUAAUACGUAGGGGGCAAGCGUUAUCCGGAUUUACUGGGUGUAAAGGGAGCGUAGACGGUAGUAAAAGUCUGAAGUGAAAACCCACAGCUCAACUGAGGGCAUGCUUUGGAAACUUUAUAACUAGAGUGCAGGAGGGGUAAGCGGAAUUCCUAGUGUAGCGGUGAAAUGCGUAGAUAUUAGGAGGAACACCAGCGGCGAAGGCGGCUUACUGGACUGUAACUGACGUUGAGGCUCGAAAGCGUGGGGAGCAAACAGGAUUAGAUACCCUGGUA
rnacentral:rRNA from 1 species